rnacentral:rRNA from 1 species
UACGUGAGGGGCGAACGUUGUUCGGGGUCACUGGGCUUAAAGGGCGCGUAGGUGGCUGCGUAAGUCAGGUGUGAAAGCCCUCGGCUUACCCGGGGAAUUGCGCCUUAUACUGCGUGGCUUGAGGAUUUCAGGGGAAGGGGGAACUCCAGGUGUAGCGGUGAAAUGCGUAGAUAUUGGGAGGAACACCAGUGGCGAAGGCGGCUCACUGGACCGGUACUGACGCUGAUGCGCGAAAGCGUGGGGAGCAAACGGG